UACGAGGGGGGCAAGCGUUGUUCGGAAUUAUUGGGCGUAAAGGGCGCGUAGGCGGUGCGGUAAGUCACCUGUGAAAACUCUGGGCUCAACUCAGAGCCUGCAGGCGAAACUGCCGUGCUUGAGUGUGGGAGAGGUGCGUGGAAUUCCCGGUGUAGCGGUGAAAUGCGUAGAUAUCAAGUGGAACACCAGUGGCGAAGGCGAGUCCCUGGACAACUCCUGACACUGAGGCACGAAAGCUAGGGGAGCAAACAGG
rnacentral:rRNA from 1 species